GCCAGCACCAACUUGUGAGCCCAUGUUUGGAAGUACAGUUAAACCUUCAGAUGGCUACCGCCCAAGGUGAUGUAUGACUACCACUACUUGAGAGACACGAUGCUGAACGCUUCCAAAUUCCAGACCAAGGGAACUAUGAAAAAUAAGUGUUGUUUCAAGCCACUAAAUUUUGAAGCAAUAUGUUACAUAGUAUUAGGUAACUAAAAUAAUUAUAAGCCACAAUCACAAAUCAAUAUUAUCUAUAAUUAUAUGUACAUACUGUAUGUAUCUUCAUCAAAUACAAAUAAAAUUAGGUAUUUGAUUUUCAUCUUAAUUUUUAAAUAACUUCUAUUUUGUGCUUCAUAAUGUAUAUAAAACAGCACAAAAAUUCAUAUAUCUAUAUAAGCAUAGGUAUCAAAAAUUUUUUUUAACUAAUAUGGAUAAAGGAUAAAACAAUUCUAGAAACAAAUUACUCUGCUCAGAUAAACAGGAUUUCUUGGAUUCCCACAAGUGAAGAUCCAGCAUUGUCUCUGAGGCAGUGAUCUGAAUUCUGACCUCACUGCUUCCUAACUGUAUGGCCUUGGGCAAAUUAAUUAACUUCUCUAAGCUUCAGUUUCCCUCAUGUGAAGAUGAGAAUAAAAAGAGUAUCCUAAUAAACAGGGCUUUUGGGAGGAUUAAAUGAGAUAAUCAAUGUAAAAUCCUUAGUACAGUGUGUGGCAUACAGCAAGGUUCAAUUAUAAUGAAGAAAAUAAUAAUUGCUUUGGAACAUUUGUAGUUCUCUGUGUUGAGUUUGUAGUUGACCUGUGGGCAUGAAGUAGAGGGUGGCUGCCAUGAGAUUUUGACCCCCACUUGGGAAAUUAGAGAAAGAAAAGUGGAAGAACAAAUGCUCACGAUUUGCUUCUCCCUGAAAGAAAAGAAGCAAACUGUUGUCUUCUGGAUUAAUCUAGUUGUCACAAUAAAAAAAAAAGAGAGGACAUGGGGAUACGUGGUCUAUUCAAGAAAAACAAUGAAUGUGUCCAGUGCCUCUCAGAGGCAGUAUUACUGCAAAGUCUUUUAAGAGAGUGAAAUAUCCCAAUAGUCGUCAGACAUGUAAUCUACGAAUAAGGGGGUCACUGCCCCAAAAUAAGGAUGAGCAUAAGUUACUAGGGCAAAGAGUAAACAGAAAAUAAAUAUCCUCUGAAAGCUCAUAGGAACAAGGAAGGGAAGUUUCCCCAGACAUUCUGAAUGUAAAAUAACAUGUGGACAAUGUAAAAACACCAAGAAGGCAAAACAAAGAGUACAAAAUUCAGACACUGAAAAAUCAAAUGGGGUGCUUCAGUAACACAGUCAAUAAAUGCAAGGCAUGGUCUGGAGAUUCUUCACUGACAAUCACUAGCACUGGAAUAGCAAAGUCACAGUGAUUCAGGAUUAGCAAUAGUCAUGGGACGUGAAAUACAAAAGUAAAAAAGGAUUGACUAGGCAAAUACCAUAAGCCAAAGACUAAGGAGUUGUUAUUAUAUGGUCAGGUAUAUGUGAAUGUCAGGUGGCCAGCAGGAAAGGUGCAGAAAGUGGUUUCUAAACAGACGGGAAAUUCUCAGUGUGCAGAUAAUCUGUCAAACCUAGAGGGAAGAGGCAAAUGAUGAAUUCUGAACUAAGGAGCUUGAGAUAAGAUUCCAACUAAGAAGAAGUCACAUAAAACAUGAAAUUUGGCCGGGCACUUUAGUUCACGCCUGUAAUCCUAGCAGUUUGGGAGCCCGAGGCAGGCAGAUGACCUGCGGUCAGGAGUUCAAGACCAGCCUGGCCAACUGGCGAAACCCCGUAUCUACUAAAAAUACAAAAAUUAGCCAGGUGUGGUGGUGGAUGCCUGCAAUCCCAGCUAUUCAGGAGGCUGAGGCAGGAGAAUCGCUUGAACCCAGGCAGCAGAGGUUGAGUCAAGAUCACACCAGUGUACUCUAGCCUGCGCAACAGAGUGAGACUCCGCCUCAAAAAAAUAAAUAAAUAGAUAAAUAAACAUAAGCUUUGCUAAGCUACAAUCCUAUGCCAGGGUUGUGGGGGAUGUAGAGAUGACCUUGUCUUUGCCAUCAAGAAGAUGCAGUCUCCCUGGACAGCAAAGGUACCUGUAACCAUGGCAUGUUCCUAAGACAGAAGUUAGAUGCCCUUUGAAGAGUUGCUUCUACUAUAGACCUCAAUGAAAAUUCAUUAUAUACUGCUGAAACAAGUCAUGAGGAAUCAAAUACUAAAUACAUGCAUAUGCUUUAAAAGUAUAAUAAACAUAUGCUUUUAAAAAUAAGGUCAUCUUACUUGGAUGUUUUGGUUCAACAGCAACUCUCACAAUAGGAGUGGCUUCGAAGUUGAGUGGUAUAAAUGGUGGGCAGGAUGGCAGGCUACACAGUGUUGCAGAUUUCAGCACAAAAUCUUGAAGGCCUCCUAUUCCUGUAGGAAGAAAAGAUCCAUACGGUCAAUAAGGGAUGAUAAAUUCUGAAUUUAUGUCAGAAAAACAGCAGCAUCAACCCAGUAUAUGUAUCACAGAGCCAAAUGCUUCCAAAAUGUUGCAAGAAAUGAGGCGGACCUGCACUGUUUUUUUUUUUGUACACCUGGAUACCAUUUGAUUGCUGUCAAAAUACAGAAAUUCUGCCUUUUGUUUCCCAC
ensembl:lncRNA novel transcript, antisense to EFL1